CUCCGUGUAACAGGCAAUGCGCCUUUUCAGCUCUUAUGGUGUUGAUAAUGGGUCCUCAUUAGGCAUUACCGCAUCACCCCUCCAAGGUCCACAUCCGUCCCUGCCAAGUGGGAUGUUGCCAGUUGGUGGUUAACCGUACUGUCGGGCGAGAUUUGGAUUGAAGCCUGUGAAAACGUAAAGCACAGCUCGCCUUUGCAGAUUAUAAUGAGUUCUUGGAUAAAGUACUGGCUGUGUAGAAUGAUGAGAGUGUUAAUCUGAGGGCCUCAAGAUGGGUGUACCCUCAAUGGCGAAUUGCUUAUGGCCAAGGUAGAUUGUACUUAUGCGAUGCGGAGCCAUACCACAAUCACUGUGACGAUGCCUUCUGCCCAAGAG
rnacentral:lncRNA from 1 species